GAUGAACGCUGGCGGCGUGCUUAACACAUGCAAGUCGAACGAGAAGUGAAGACGGAAACCUUCGGGCGGAAGGCUUUAUUUCGAGUGGCGGACGGGUGAGUAACGCGUGGGUAACCUGCCUCAUACAGGGGGAUAACAGUUGGAAACGACUGUUAAUACCGCAUAAGACCACAGCACCGCAUGGUGCGGGGGUAAAAACUCCGGUGGUAUGAGAUGGACCCGCGUUCGAUUAGCCAGUUGGCGGGGUAACGGCCCACCAAAGCGACGAUCGAUAGCCGAUCUGAGAGGAUGACCGGCCACAUUGGGAAUGAGACACGGCCCCAACUCCUACGGGAGGCAGCAGUGGGGGAUAUUGCACAAUGGGGGAAACCCUGAUGCAGCGGCGCCGCGUGAGUGAAGAAGUAUUUCGGUAUGUAAAGCUCUAUCAGCAGGGAAGAAAAUGACGGUACCUGAGUAAGAAGCCCCGGCUAACUACGUG
rnacentral:rRNA from 1 species